rnacentral:rRNA from 1 species
AUUGAACGCUGGCGGCAGGCCUAACACAUGCAAGUCGAACGAGUGGCGGACGGGUGAGUAAUGUCUGGGAAACUGCCUGAUGGAGGGGGAUAACUACUGGAAACGGUAGCUAAUACCGCAUACCAUCAGAUGUGCCCAGAUGGGAUUAGCUUGUUGGUGGGGUAUAGGCUCACCAAGGCGACGAUCCCUAGCUGGGCUGCGAGGAUGACCAGCCACACUGGAACGGAAAAACGGUCCAGACUCCGACGGGAGGCAGCAGUAGGGAAUAUUGCACAAUGGGCGCAAGCCUUAUGCAGCCAUGCCGCGUGUAUGAAGAAGGCCUUCGGGUUGUAAAGUACUUUCGGCGGGGAGGCGUUACCCGGAGAAGAAGCCCCGGCUAACUCCGUGCCAGCAGCCGCGGUAAUAC